rnacentral:rRNA from 1 species
AUUGAACGCUGGCGGCAUGCCUUACACAUGCAAGUCGAACGGCAGCAUGGAGAGCUUGCUCUCUGAUGGCGAGUGGCGAACGGGUGAGUAAUGCAUCAGAACGUACCGUGUAAUGGGGGAUAACGUAGCGAAAGUUACGCUAAUACCGCAUACGACCUGAGGGUGAAAGCAGGGGAUCGCAAGACCUUGCGUUAUACGAGCGGCCGAUGUCAGAUUAGCUAGUUGGUGGGGUAAAGGCUCACCAAGGCGACGAUCUGUAGCGGGUCUGAGAGGAUGAUCCGCCACACUGGGACUGAGACACGGCCCAGACUCCUACGGGAGGCAGCAGUGGGGAAUUUUGGACAAUGGGGGCAACCCUGAUCCAGCCAUGCCGCGCGAGUGAAGAAGGCCUUCGGGUCGUAAAGCUCUUUCGACCGGGAAGAAAUCGCACAGGCUAAUACUCUGUGUGGAUGACGGUACCGGCAUAAGAAGCACCGGCUAACUACGUGCCAGCCGCCGCCGUAA